UCUUUUUUGUGCUGCUCUUUUGAUAAAAAUUUCCCUUUCUUUAUAUUGAUCCUUUCAGAUAUUUUCUGGUGCAGGUUAUCCCCUGCCAUCAGAGUCCUAGAGUGGAAGGAAAGUUUUAUCCUGACUUGUGCUUUGUGUCCUGAAGGUGGCUCGGUCAUUUUGGAACUCCCCCUCAUCUGUCACCAGAUACUGGCUGUGUACGGGCACUGAGGGUACAAAGGCAGAUGGUGGGGUUCUGGUUCCCACCACGGAGGCUCCCCAAAUUGUCCCAUGGACUCCUUGAGAUUCUUGAAAUUGCAUGCAAAUUGUGCAUUUAGAGUAGUUUUAAUCAGAUUGUUAGUGGGAUUGAAACUAAAAAGGGUGGCUGAGCCUGGCACACAUCUGUGUGGCUCCUCACUACUUACCCACCUUCUAGUGGCUCCAGUGGGAGGGAAUCUCAGACGAGUGUUUCUCUUGGCUGAUGGAUGGUCCAGCUGAGCAACUGCACAGUGAUAGUUACCUGAGGAGCUUUCCCCUGUCUGUAUCUACGAGGGGAAGACAAGGUUUGUUCCAUCCUUAAAGAUCUGAGAGACCCAACACAGGAGUCAGAAUUUCAGACAAGUAACGAAAUCAAGCAGAACCAGAGCUGGAACUGCUCCCUACCCCACCCCAAUUCUGGGUACAAAUAUUGCUUGACAGACCUAGAGGACACACAAAGCAAUAGAUUCAAAAGCUAGUUUUUUGGUUGUUUGGUUGUUUUCAGUGGUUUGGGGUGGGGGGUAAGGAGGGGUGGAGGUUAGUGGUACCUUUGGAUUUAGUUAUAGCAGAGAAGCAGGUGGUUCUUGCUGAGUAACAUUCUCCCCUACCCAGUUUGUGGGGGUGCAGGGCCAGGAGUGCUCAGCCCUGCUCAUCCUUUGUACCAACGAUGUGAUGCGGCAGAUAGACUCAGACUGGAGGCACUGGAGGGGCUGUGCUGGGUGCCGGUCUUCUCCACAGCUUGGGGGAUAGGUGGCGUUACCCCCUUUACAGAGGAGGAAGCUGAGGCUCGGGGUUCACUGGCCUGCCUGAGUCCACAGCUUGCUGGGGUGGCAGAACUAGCCUUUGGAUGCAGGUUUUCCUGACUCCAAAGCCCGUGCUCCCAACUUACCUCCUGAAUAUAUCAAUUGGGGUAAAUUUCCUGAAAUGGAAUUGCUGGGUCAGUUUAAAAUGAUGGUUCUAGGGCUUCCCUGGUGGCGCAGUGGUUAAGAAUCUGCCUGCCGGUGGAGGGGACACAGAUUUGAUCCCUGGCCCUGGAAGAUCCCACAUGCCGCAGAGCAACUAAGCCCAUGUGUCACAACUACUGAGCCUGCGCUCUAGAGCCUGCGAGCCACAACUACUGAGCCCUCGUGCCACAACUACUAAAGCCUGCGCACCUAGAGCCCGUACUCUACAACAAGAGAAGCCACCGCAAUGAGAAGCCCACGCACCGCAACGAAGAGUAGCCCCCGCUCACCGCAGCGAGAGAAAGCCCGCGUGCAGCAACGAAGACCCAACACAGCCAAAAAUAAAUAAUCAUAAUAUAAAUAAAUAAAAUGCUGGUGCUUCCACUGGUCUUCAGACGUGUGCUCCAGGAUGUCUGUAGCGCUUGCUCCCCACGCAAGGCGCUGUGCCUUGUGAUUUGGUUCUUUAAAAAGCAUAUCUUGAAUUUAUUUUUCUUCAA